CCCGGAUAGUUAACAAAACACUUAGGUCGUGACCCUAAAUAAAAGAGGUGGAACCUCUUCCGAGCU
rnacentral:tRNA from 1 species